rnacentral:rRNA from 1 species
UCGGGAUUGCAAUGAGCCGAAUUUACACCCCUUGGCGAGAAUCAAUUGGAGGGCAAGUCUGGUGCCAGCAGCCGCGGUAAUUCCAGCUCCAAUAGCGUAUAUUAAAGUUGUUGCAGUUAAAAAGCUCGUAGUUGGAUUUGUGGUGUGUCCAGUCGGCCUCUGCUCUUUGAGUGGUUGUGCUGUACUGGUCUGCCAUGUUUGGGUGGAAUCUGUGUGGCAUUAAGUUGUCGUGCAGGGGAUGCCCAUCGUUUACUGUGAAAAAAUUAGAGUGUUCAAAGCAGGCUUAUGCCGUUGAAUAUAUUAGCAUGGAAUAAUGAUAUAGGACCUUGGUACUAUUUUGUUGGUUUGCGCACUAAGGUAAUGAUUAAGAGGGACAGUUGGGGGUAUUUGUAUUCCAUUAUCAGAGGUGAAAUUCUUGGAUUUUUGGAAGACAAACUACUGCGAAAGCAUUUACCAAGGAUGUUUUCAUUAAUCAAGAACGAAAGUUAGGGGAUCGAAGAUGAUUAGAUACCAUCGUAGUCUUAACCAUAAACUAUGCCGACUCAGGAUA